rnacentral:rRNA from 1 species
GUUGACCUCGGAUCAGGUAGGGAUACCCGCUGAACUUAAGCAUAUCAAUAAGCGGAGGG